rnacentral:rRNA from 1 species
AUACGGAGGGUGCAAGCGUUACUCGGAAUCACUGGGCGUAAAGCGCGCGCAGGCGGUCUUUUAAGUUGGAUGUGAAAGCCUACGGCUCAACCGUAGAACUGCAUCCAAAACUAUUAGACUAGAGUGUGGGAGAGGAAGAUGGAAUUAGUUGUGUAGGGGUAAAAUCCGUAGAGAUAACUAGGAAUACCAAAAGCGAAGGCAAUCUUCUGGAACACUACUGACGCUGAGGCGCGAAAGCGUGGGGUGCAAACAGGAGUAGAAACCCUAGUAGUCC